rnacentral:sRNA from 1 species
UCGCAUAGGUUCCGAUACAAAUGGGC